GUAGUCCACGCCGUAAACGAUGUCUACUAGCUGUUCGCGGCCUUGUGUUGUGAGUAGCGCAGCUAACGCAUUAAGUAGACCGCCUGGGGAGUACGGUCGCAAGAUUAAAACUCAAAUGAAUUGACGGGGGCCCGCACAAGCGGUGGAGCAUGUGGUUUAAUUCGACGCAACGCGAAGAACCUUACCUACUCUUGACAUCUACAGAAGAACGCAGAGAUGUGUUUGUGCCUUCGGGAACUGUAAGACAGGUGCUGCAUGGCUGUCGUCAGCUCGUGUUGUGAAAUGUUGGGUUAAGUCCCGCAACGAGCGCAACCCUUAUCCUUAGUUGCCAGCGAUUCGGUCGGGAACUC
rnacentral:rRNA from 1 species